UACGGGGGGUGCGAGCGUUGUCCGGAUUUAUUGGGCGUAAAGAGCUCGUAGGCGGCUCGUCGCGUCGACCGUGAAAACCCGCGGCUUAACUGCGGGCUUGCGGUUGAUACGGGCGGGCUAGAGUUCGGUAGGGGAGACUGGAAUUCCUGGUGUAGCGGUGAAAUGCGCAGAUAUCAGGAGGAACACCGGUGGCGAAGGCGGGUCUCUGGGCCGAUACUGACGCUGAGGAGCGAAAGCGUGGGGAGCGAACAGG
rnacentral:rRNA from 1 species